GACCCCCCUGAUUAGGGUAAUGGCCAUGCGGACAGCCGGGUCAACUGCCGA
rnacentral:sRNA from 1 species